rnacentral:rRNA from 1 species
UUGAACGCUGGCGGCAGGCCUAACACAUGCAAGUCGAACGGUAACAGGAAGAAGCUUGCUUCUUUGCUGACGAGUGGCGGACGGGUGAGUAAUGUCUGGGAAACUGCCUGAUGGAGGGGGAUAACUACUGGAAACGGUAGCUAAUACCGCAUAACGUCGCAAGACCCAAGAGGGGGACCUUCGGGCCUCUUGCCAUCGGAUGUGCCCAGAUGGGAUUAGCUAGUAGGUGGGGUAACGGCUCACCUAGGCGACGAUCCCUAGCUGGUCUGAGAGGAUGACCAGCCACACUGGAACUGAGACACGGUCCAGACUCCUACGGGAGGCAGCAGUGGGGAAUAUUGCACAAUGGGCGCAAGCCUGAUGCAGCCAUGCCGCGUGUAUGAAGAAGGCCUUCGGGUUGUAAAGUACUUUCAGCGGGGAGGAAGGGAGUAAAGUUAAUACCUUUGCUCAUUGACGUUACCCGCAGAAGAAGCACCGGCUAACUCCGUG